rnacentral:rRNA from 1 species
UACGGGGGGAGCAAGCGUUGUUCGGAUUUACUGGGCGUAAAGGGCGCGUAGGCGGCCACCGCAAGUCGACUGUGAAAUCUCCGGGCUUAACCCGGAAAGGUCAGCCGAUACUGCGGGCUAGAGUGCAGAAGGGGCAACUGGAAUUCUCGGUGUAGCGGUGAAAUGCGUAGAUAUCGAGAGGAACACCUGCGGCGAAGGCGGGUUGCUGGGCUGACACUGACGCUGAUGUGCGAAAGCUAGGGGAGCGAACGGG